AUCAACUUUCGAUGGUAGGAUAGAGGCCUACCAUGGUGGUAACGGGUAACGGGGUGUUAGGGCACGACACCGGAGAGGGAGCCUGAGAAACGGCUACCACAUCCAAGGAUGGCAGCAGGCGCGCAAAUUACCCAAUCCCGACACGGGGAGGUAGUGACAAUAAAUAACAAUACGGGGUUCUUUCGGAUCUCGUAAUUGGAAUGAGUACAAUUUAAAUCUCUUAACGAGGAACAAUUGGAGGGCAAGUCUGGUGCCAGCAGCCGCGGUAAUUCCAGCUCCAAUAGCGUAUAUUAAAGUUGUUGCAGUUAAAAAGCUCGUAGUUGAAUUUCGGGAUCAGAUUGUUGGUCGUGCCUCGGUACGCACUGGCAUUAUUGGUUCCUACCUUCUGAAGAACCGCGAUGUCAUUAAUUUGGUGUCGUGGGGAAUCAGGACUGUUACUUUGAAAAAAUUAGAGUGUUUAAAGCAGGCGCACGCUUGAAUACAUUAGCAUGGAAUAAUGAAAUAGGACGUUUGAUUCUAUUUUGUUGGUUUCUAGGAUCGACGUAAUGAUUAAUAGGGAUAGUUGGGGGCAUUAGUAUUCAAUUGUCAGAGGUGAAAUUCUUGGAUUUAUUGAAGACUAACUACUGCGAAAGCAUUUGCCAAGGAUGUUUUCAUUAAUCAAGAACGAAAGUUAGGGGAUCGAAGACGAUCAGAUACCGUCGUAGUCUUAACCAUAAACUAUGCCGACUAGGGAUCGGAUGAUGUUAAUUUUUUAAUGACUCAUUCGGCGCCUUACGGGAAACCAAAGUGUUUGGGUUC
rnacentral:rRNA from 1 species